GGACAGGUGCCAGAGCGGUUGAUUGGGCACGCCUGGAAAGCGUGUGGCCGUCACAAGCGGCCCGAGGGUUCGAAUCCCUCCCUGUCCGCCA
rnacentral:tRNA from 2 species